rnacentral:rRNA from 1 species
AGCGGCGGACGGGUGAGUAACACGUGGGUCACCUGCCCGGAAAUGGGGAAUACCUCGGGGAAACUCGAGCUAAUACCGCAUGACAUCGUCGGGACGCCCGUCCUGACGAUCAAAGCGGGGUCGCAAGGCCUCGCGCUGCCGGAUGGGCCCGCGCCCGAUUAGCUAGUUGGUGAGGUAACGGCUCACCAAGGCGACGAUCGGUAACCGGCCUGAGAGGGCGAUCGGUCACACCGGAACUGAGACACGGCCCGGACUCCUACGGGAGGCAGCAGUGGGGAAUCUUGCGCAAUGGGCGAAAGCCUGACGCAGCAACGCCGCGUGGAGGAUGAAGGCCCUUGGGUUGUAAACUCCUGUCGGUUGGGAAGAAAUCGUUCGAGGCGAAUAGCCUCCGACGUUGACUGUACCAGCAAAGGAAGCCCCGGCAAACUCUGUGCCAGCAGCCGCGGUAAUACAGAGGGGGCCAGCGUUAUUCGGAAUUAUUGGGCGUAAAGGGCGCGUAGGCGGCCAUGCGUGUCUUUCGUGAAAUCCCUCGGCUCAACUGAGGACGUGCGGAAGA